rnacentral:rRNA from 1 species
GACGAACGCUGGCGGCGUGCUUAACACAUGCAAGUCGAACGGUAAGGCCCUUCGGGGUACACGAGUGGCGAACGGGUGAGUAACACGUGGGUGAUCUGCCCUGCACUUCGGGAUAAGCCUGGGAAACUGGGUCUAAUACCGGAUAGGACCACUGCCUGCAUGGGGGGUGGUGGAAAGCUUUUGUGGUGUGGGAUGGGCCCGCGGCCUAUCAGCUUGUUGGUGGGGUGAUGGCCUACCAAGGCGACGACGGGUAGCCGGCCUGAGAGGGUGACCGGCCACACUGGGACUGAGAUACGGCCCAGACUCCUACGGGAGGCAGCAGUGGGGAAUAUUGCACAAUGGGCGCAAGCCUGAUGCAGCGACGCCGCGUGAGGGAUGACGGCCUUCGGGUUGUAAACCUCUUUCAGCACCGACGAAGCGCAAGUGACGGUAGGUGCAGAAGAAGGACCGGCCAACUACGUGCCAGCCGCCGCGGUAA